rnacentral:tRNA from 1 species
AUUUAGAUAGCUUAAAUUAGAGUUUAAUAUUGAAGAUAUUGAGGUAAGUGUGAACUUUUUAAAUA